GGCCAGCCUGGAGAAUGGUCUGGGAGCCCCCAGACCCGUCCCCGUCCCCCUUUCCCCUACUGGAAAGAAAAGAGGAACUGAAAAUGAAAUUAAAGCAUAAUUCAAUCCGGAGCGGGUCCAGAAUAAAGUCAUCUGCUCUUAUCGUGUGCUGGCAGGCUCUUCCCGCUCUGCGACAAACACAAUGUUAUCAGGGCACAGAGGGCAGAUUCGUUUGCACCGGCCGAGCGAGCUGCCGUGUCCGCCCUGCCUGCCCCGGGCCCGGGGAGCGCUGGGACGCCGGGAGCUGCGGCGCGUCCCUCCCGGCGAAUGCCGCCGUGCAGCAAACGCUGCGGAGGAACAGCAUACAGCAACGUUUUUCCUCCGCUGCUCAACUUUCACUGGUACAGGAAAACCGAAAGCACUGGGCGCCGUGUGGAGCCGCGGGGUCCAGCGCCGUGACGGGCAGGACAUCGCACCGGCCGAGCUGGCGCUGAGCUCUCGGAGGGGAUGCUGUGCGCUGAGCGGUGCUGAGAGGAGCCCAGAGGCGUCCUGAGCUGCAGCGUGUGCCGCAGCCAACCCUCGCUCCCCAGCCGGGACUGCCGAUGCCAAGGCUGGCCGGGAACAGGCUGCCACCGAAAAUGGCUUUGGAGAGGACCUGAGACACCCCAGCAAUUCCUUCUGGGGAAAAGGAGAAAUUGCCGUUUUCUGGUUUUUCACGAUAAACAGAGAAAGUUGGGAAGAAAGGAGGGCUUUUUUCCCAGUGUGGUUGCCUCGGUCUCUAAAAACAACCCCAACCUACAAUUCCAGCCGGUCGUGCCAGGAGUUUUGCAGUGGGCAUUGCUGCUCGUGUGAAUGCCCAGUGGUAGGGCUGCACGGCACCGGGGCUGCGGGUGCUGAAGUGGUACUCUCAAAUGCCAUGGUUUAAUAGCCUAUACAUCACGUAUGAGCAAUUUAUCUACAAAAGUCUCAAAUAAUCUCUCAAAUGUUGUAGCUUAACAAUUAUACCUUGUGCAUGAACAGUUUAACUCUGUAAGUUUCAAAUAAACCAGCUAAAAAUCUCA
rnacentral:lncRNA from 1 species